UUUCUCAGCAUCAUAAUCAUGCCAUGCUGGGUGCAAUAUCCCAUGCCUGUUAUCCCAGGGGCUUGGGAGGCUGAGGCAGGAGGAU
rnacentral:miRNA from 1 species